AUAAUAAGUUUCAGGCAUGGCCUCGCACUGCUGGACCUCCAGUCGUCAUGAAUCCCAUCAGCCGCCAGAACUUCAUCGUCAAGACAUCUGAUUCUUGAGAGGUACAAUGAAGUUGUUCUCUGGACAGAGAUGUUUAAUAAUUUCUCAUUUGCGUUCAGCAAAAGAUUAGUUUUUCCUUCUUUCGAAUGACUUUGUAAUAAUUUGCAGAGAUGUGGACUGUUUCAAAAACAUACACAUUUGAUUAGUGUUCAGUGCUCAUUUGACUUGCUUGCUCUAUUUGAGCUAAAAUGCCACCUUUUUUUUUAAUAGCAAAUUGAAAUGCUUAUGUAGAAUUUGUCCUGUUA